rnacentral:rRNA from 1 species
UUGAAUUGAAGAGUUUGAUCAUGGCUCAGAUUGAACGCUGGCGGCAGGCUUAACACAUGCAAGUCGAACGGUAGCAGGAGAAAGCUUGCUUUCUUGCUGACGAGUGGCGGACGGGUGAGUAAUGCUUGGGAAUCUGGCUUAUGGAGGGGGAUAACUACGGGAAACUGUAGCUAAUACCGCGUAGUAUCGGAAGAUGAAAGUGCGGGACCGUAAGGCCGCAUGCCAUGAGAUGAGCCCAAGUGGGAUUAGGUAGUUGGUGGGGUAAAGGCCUACCAAGCCUGCGAUCUCUAGCUGGUCUGAGAGGAUGGCCAGCCACACUGGAACUGAGACACGGUCCAGACUCCUACGGGAGGCAGCAGUGGGGAAUAUUGCGCAAUGGGGGGAACCCUGACGCAGCCAUGCCGCGUGAAUGAAGAAGGCCUUCGGGUUGUAAAGUUCUUUCGGUAUUGAGGAAGGAGUGUAUGUUAAUAGCAUACAUUAUUGACGUUAAAUACAGAAGAAGCACCGGCUAACUCCGUGCCAGCA